rnacentral:rRNA from 1 species
GACGAGGGGUCCUAGCGUUGUUCGGAACCACUGGGCGUAAAGCGUAUGUAGGCGGGCUUUUAAGUCGGGUGUGAAAUCCCACGGCUCAACCGUGGAAUUGCAUUCGAAACUGGAAGUCUUGAGUGUGGGAGAGAUUGGUAGAAUACCUAGUGUAGUGGUGAAAUACGUAGAUAUUAGGUGGAAUACCGGUGGCGAAGGCGGCCAAUUGGCCCAACACUGACGCUGAGAUACGAAAGCGUGGGGAUCAAACAGG